AACGAACGCUGGCGGCGUGGCUAAGACAUGCAAGUCGAACGGACCAAUGUAUUCAUAUAUUGGUUAGUGGCGAAAGGGUUAGUAACGGGUAGGUAACGUACCCUGUGCUUUGGGAUAGCGUCAGUUGCUUCGGCAACUUUCCGAAAGGGGCGGUAAUACCAAAUAAUAUCAUUUGUCAAUAGGCGGAUGAUCAAAGAUUUAUCGGCGCAGGAGCGGCCUGCCUCCUAUCAGCUUGUUGGUGAGGUAAUGGCUCACCAAGGCAACGACGGGUAGCGGGACUAAGAGGUUGACCCGCAACAUCGGGACUGAGACACUGCCCGGACCUCCACGGAGGGCUGCAGUAACGAAUAUUGCGCAAUGGGCGAAAGCCUGACGCAGCGACGCCGCGUGUAGGAGGAAGUCUCUCGGGAUGUAAACUACUGUCAGGGGGAAGAAAGUGCGCUUCGGUGCAUUGAUCUAACCCAGAGGAAGUCACGGCUAACUUCGUGCCAGCAGCCGCGGUAAGACGAAGGUGGCAAGCGUUGUUCGGUAUUACUGGGCUUAAAGCGUGUGUAGGCGGAAAAGCGAGCGUUCUGUGAAAGCCCCCGGCUUAACCGGGGAACUGCGCAACGAACUGCUUUUCUUGAGGCAAGUAGGGGUGCAUGGAACUCUUGGUGGAGCGGUGGAAUACGUAGAUAUCAAGAGGAACGCCAGUGGAGAAAUCGGUGCACUGGGCUUGUCCUGACGCUGAGACACGAAAGCGUGGGGAGCGAACGGGAUUAGAUACCCCGGUAGUCCACGCCGUAAACGACGCCUACUAGGUUGUGGGAGUUCUGACACUCGCACAGCCGAAGCUAAAGUGUUAAGUAGGCCGCCUGGGGAGUACGGUCGCAAGGCUA
rnacentral:rRNA from 1 species